UACAGGAACCACAUAACAGGGCUACUGUAGCGAAGCUACUAUAGGAACAACAUAACGGGGCGACUGUAGCGAAGCUCCUUUCGGAACCACAUAACAGGGCGACUGUAGCAAAGCUACUACAGGAACCCAAUAACGGGGCCACUGUAGCGAAGCUACUACAGGAACAACAUAACAGGGCGACUGUAGCAAAGCUACUACAGGAACCACAUUACAGGGCGACUGUAGCAAAACUACUACAGGAACCACAUAACAGGGCCACUGUAGCGAAGCUACUACUGGAACCACAUAACAGGGCGACUGUAGCGAAGCUACUACAGGAACCACAUAACAGGACGACUGUAGCAAAUCUACUACAGGAACCACAUAACAGGGAGACUGUAGCAAAUCUACUACAGGAACCACAUAACAGGGCGACUGUAGCAAAGCUACUAUAGGAACAACAUAACGGGGCGACUGUAGCGAAGCUCCUUUCGGAACCACAUAACAGGGCGACUGUAGCAAAGCUACUACAGGAACCCAAUAACGGGGCCACUGUAGCGAAGCUACUACAGGAACAACAUAACAGGGCGACUGUAGCAAAGCUACUACAGGAACCACAUUACAGGGCGACUGUAGCAAAGUUACUACAGGAACCACAUAACAGGGCGACUGUAGCGAAGCUACUACAAGAACCACAUAACAGGGCGACUGUAGCAAAGCUACUACAGGAACCACAUAACAGGGCGACUGUAGCGAAGCUACUACAGGAACCACAUAACAGGGCCACUGUGGCAAAGCUACUACAGGAACCACAUAACAGGGCGACUGUAGUGAAGCUACUACAGGAACCACAUAACAGGGCCACUGUAGCGAAGCUACUACAGGAACCACAUAACAGGGCCACUGUAGCGAAGCUACUACAGCGGCAGUUACAAGUUAAAAACCGAGGGCGCAGCGGCGUUCUUUCGGUGUUUUUUGUCAUUGUCAAGUCACGCAGACACGUGACUUCAUUUUCUUACGCGACUGAAUGACAGGAGAUCUUUUUGAUUAUUUUUGUUUUGUCUUCAUUUUACACAGCAAAGCAUCAACUUAAAAUACAAUUAAUGCAUUCUGUCACACGGUAGAUGAACGAUAUGCUCUUGUGCCUCAUGCAGCUCUUCUGUGUGGCACCCGCUGCAAUCAUGACGUCA
ensembl:lncRNA